UACGUAACGUACGAACGUUAUUCGGAAUUACUGGGCUUAAAGGGUUUGUAGGCGGCCUUGUAAGUCAGGUGUGAAAUCCCUCGGCUCAACCGAGGAAUAGCGCUUGAUACUGCAAGGCUUGAGGGAUACAGGGGUAAGCGGAACUGAUGGUGGAGCGGUGAAAUGCGUUGAUAUCAUCAGGAACACCGGUGGCGAAAGCGGCUUACUGGGUCUCUUCUGACGCUGAGGAACGAAAGCUAGGGUAGCGAACGGG
rnacentral:rRNA from 1 species